AUGAACGCUGGCGGCGUGCCUAAUACAUGCAAGUCGAGCGAACGGACGAGAAGCUUGCUUCUCUGAUGUUAGCGGCGGACGGGUGAGUAACACGUGGAUAACCUACCUAUAAGACUGGGAUAACUUCGGGAAACCGGAGCUAAUACCGGAUAAUAUUUUGAACCGCAUGGUUCAAAAGUGAAAGACGGUCUUGCUGUCACUUAUAGAUUGAUCCGCGCUGCAUUAGCUAGUUGGUAAGGUAACGGCUUACCAAGGCAACGAUGCAUAGCCGACCUGAGAGGGUGAUCGGCCACACUGGAACUGAGACACGGUCCAGACUCCUACGGGAGGCAGCAGUAGGGAAUCUUCCGCAAUGGGCGAAAGCCUGACGGAGCAACGCCGCGUGAGUGAUGAAGGUCUUCGGAUCGUAAAACUCUGUUAUUAGGGAAGAACAUAUGUGUAAGUAACUGUGCACAUCUUGACGGUGCCUAAUCAGAAAGCCACGGCUAACUACGUG
rnacentral:rRNA from 1 species